rnacentral:rRNA from 1 species
UACGAAGGGAGCUAGCGUUGCUCGGAAUCACUGGGCGUAAAGGGUGCGUAGGCGGGCCUUUAAGUCAGGGGUGAAAUCCUGGAGCUCAACUCCAGAACUGCCUUUGAUACUGAAGAUCUUGAGUUCGGGAGAGGUGAGUGGAACUGCGAGUGUAGAGGUGAAAUUCGUAGAUAUUCGCAAGAACACCAGUGGCGAAGGCGGCUCACUGGCCCGAUACUGACGCUGAGGCACGAAAGCGUGGGGAGCAAACAGG